rnacentral:rRNA from 1 species
CCUACGGGUGGCAGCAGUGGGGGAUAUUGGACAAUGGGGGAAACCCUGAUCCAGCGACGCCGCGUGAGUGAAGAAGUCUUUCUGUAUGUAAAGCUCUGUUAGCAGGGAAGUAAGAAAUGCCGGUACCUGACCAAGAAGCCCCGGCUAACUACGUGCCAGCAGCCGCGGUAAUACGUAGGGGGCAAGCGUUAUCCGGAAGUACUGGGUGUAAAGGGAGCGUAGACGGUGAUGCAAGUCUGGAGUGAAAGUCGGGGGCUCAACCCCCGGACUGCAGUGGAAACUGUGUGACUUGAGUGCAGGAGAGGUAGGCGGAAUUCGUGGUGUAGCGGUGAAAUGCGUAGAUAUUAGGAAGAACACCGGUGGCGAAGGCGGCUUACUGGACUGUAACUGACGCUGAGGCUCGAAAGCGUGGGGAGCAAACAGGAUUAGAUACCCGUGUAGUC